AGGACGAACGCUGGCGGCGUGCUUAACACAUGCAAGCCGAGCGGUAAGGCCUUUCGGGGUACACGAGCGGCGAACGGGUGAGUAACACGUGGGUGAUCUGCCCUGCACUCUGGGAUAAGCCUGGGAAACUGGGUCUAAUACCGGAUAUGACCUGCUCUCGCAGUGGGGGGUGGGUGGAAAGAUUUAGUCGGUGCAGGAUGGGCCCGCGGCCUAUCAGCGUUGUUGGUGGGUAAUGGCCUACCAAGGCGACGGACGGUAGCCGACCUGAGAGGGUGACCGGCCACACGUGGGACUGAGACGACGGCCCAGACCUCCGUACGGGAGGCAGGCGAGGUGGGGAAUAGUUCGCAAC
rnacentral:rRNA from 1 species